CCUACGGGCGGCAGCAGUAGGGAAUCUUCGGCAAUGGACGAAAGUCUGACCGAGCAACGCCGCGUGAGUGAAGAAGGUUUUCGGAUCGUAAAACUCUGUUGUUAGAGAAGAACAAGUAGGAGAGUAACUGCUCUUACCUUGACGGUAUCUAACCAGAAAGCCACGGCUAACUACGUGCCAGCAGCCGCGGUAAUACGUAGGUGGCAAGCGUUGUCCGGAUUUAUUGGGCGUAAAGCGAGCGCAGGCGGUCUUUUAAGUCUGAUGUGAAAGCCCUCGGCCCAACCGAGGAAGGUCAUUGGAAACUGGAGGACUUGAGUGCAGAAGAGGAGAGUGGAAUUCCAUGUGUAGCGGUGAAAUGCGUAGAGAUGUGGAGGAACACCAGUGGCGAAGGCGGCUCUCUGGUCUGUAACUGACGCUGAGGCGCGAAAGCGUGGGGAGCAAACAGGAUUAGAUACCCCAGUAGUC
rnacentral:rRNA from 1 species